rnacentral:misc_RNA from 1 species
GAUGAAGAACGCAGCGAAAUGCGAUACGUAGUGUGAAUUGCAGAAUUCAGUGAAUCAUCGAAUCUUUGAACGCACAUUGCGCCCUUUGGUAUUCCAAAGGGCAUGCCUGUUCGAGCGUCAUUUGUACCCUCAAGCUUUGCUUGGUGUUGGGCGUUUUUUUGUCUUUGGUUAUGCCAAAGACUCGCCUUAAAACGAUUGGCAGCCGGCCUCCUGGUUUCGCAGCGCAGCACAUUUUUGCGCUUGCAAUCAGCAAUAGAGGGCGGCACUCCAUCAAGACACUUUUUUUCACGUUUGACCUCGGAUCAGGUAGGGAUACCCGCUGAACUUAAGCAUAUCAAUAAGCGGAGGA